rnacentral:rRNA from 1 species
UACGUAGGGGGCAAGCGUUGUCCGGAAUCAUUGGGCGUAAAGCGCGUGUAGGCGGCUCGGUAAGUCCGCUCUGAAAGUCCAGGGCUCAACCCUGGGAUGCGGGUGGAUACUGCCGGGCUCGAGUCCGGAAGAGGCGAGUGGAAUUCCCGGUGUAGCGGUGAAAUGCGCAGAUAUCGGGAGGAACACCAAUGGCGAAGGCAGCUCGCUGGGACGUGACUGACGCUGAGGCGCGAAAGCGUGGGGAGCGAACAGG